rnacentral:rRNA from 1 species
GAUCCUGGCUCAGGACGAACGCUGGCGGCGCGCCUAACACAUGCAAGUCGAACGGAGAGUGUGAGACGGAAGCCUUCGGGCGGAAGACUUAUAUUCUUAGUGGCGGACGGGUGAGUAACACGUGAGCAACCUGCCUUCAAGAGUGGGAUAGCAUCUGGAAACGGGUGGUAAUACCGCAUAAGACCACAGCAUCGCAUGGUGCAGAGGUCAAAGGAGCAAUCCGCUUGAAGAUGGG